rnacentral:rRNA from 1 species
AGAGUUUGAUCAUGGCUCAGAACGAACGCUGGCGGCAGGCCUAACACAUGCAAGUCGAACGCCGUAGCAAUACGGAGUGGCAGACGGGUGAGUAACGCGUGGGAACAUACCCCUCGGUUCGGAAUAACUCAGGGAAACUUGAGCUAAUGCCGGAUACGUCCGAGGUUUUAAUCGACCUUGGAGAAAGAUUUAUCGCCGGAGGAUUGGCCCGCGUCUGAUUAGCUUGUUGGUGAGGUAAUGGCUCACCAAGGCGACGAUCAGUAGCUGGUCUGAGAGGAUGAUCAGCCACAUUGGGACUGAGACACGGCCCAAACUCCUACGGGAGGCAGCAGUGGGGAAUAUUGGACAAUGGGCGAAAGCCUGAUCCAGCCAUGCCGCGUGAGUGAUGAAGGCCUUAGGGUUGUAAAGCUCUUUUACCCGGGAAGAUAAUGACGGUACCGGGAGAAUAAGCCCCGGCUAACUUCGUGCCAGCAGCCGCGGUAAUACGAAGGGGGCUAGCGUUGUUCGGAAUUACUGGGCGUAAAGCGCACGUAGGCGGAUCUUUAAGUCAGGGGUGAAAUCCCGAGGCUCAACCUCGGAACUGCCUUUGAUACUGGGGAUAUCGAGUCCGGGAGAGGUGAGUGGAACUGCGAGUGUAGAGGUGAAAUUCGUAGAUAUUCGCAAGAACACCAGUGGCGAAGGCGGCUCACUGGCCCGGUACUGACGCUGAGGUGCGAAAGCGUGGGGAGCAAACAGGAUUAGAUACCCUGGUAGUCCACGCCGUAAACGAUGGAUGCUAGCCGUUAGACAGCUUGCUGUUUAGUGGCGCAGUUAACGCGUUAAGCAUCCCGCCUGGGGAGUACGGUCGCAAGAUUAAAACUCAAAGGAAUUGACGG